rnacentral:rRNA from 1 species
ACGUCAAAUCAUCAUGCCCCUUAUGUCUAGGGCUACACACGUGCUACAAUGGGCAGUACAAUGUGAUGCAAUCCCGUGAGGGGGAGCUAAACACGAAAACUGUUCCCAGUUCGGAUUGCAGGCUGCAACUCGCCUGCAUGAAGCUGGAGUUGCUAGUAAUCGCAAAUCAGAAUGUUGCGGUGAAUACGUUCCCGGGCCUU